UUGCAAUAAUAAGACCGCGACAAAAUGAGGAUAGGUUUUACUGCCGUAAAGGCUUUCAUGCAAGAAAUGUUUUAUUGAUCACAGAUGCGGAUUUAAAUAUAUUGCAUGUGGAUUCUUCGUUUGGUGGAGCUUCACACGAUAGCCACAUAUUUAAUAACUCGCCAAUAAAAUCUCACCUCGAGCAACUAAUAAAUUCUGGAGAGACUGCAUACUUACUAGGUGAUUCAGGUUAUCUUCAACGGCCCUAUUUAAUGAUCCCGAUAGCCAAUGCAGAAGACAACAGUCCCGAAGAGCACUACAACAAAUUGCAUGCAACAGCUCGAAACAGUGUCGAACGUGCUAUUGGUGUUCU